rnacentral:rRNA from 1 species
GGCGAUCAGAUACCGCCCUAGUUCUGACCGUAAACGAUGCCAACUAGCGAUCCGCCAGUCGACUCAUCGCUCUGGUGGGGAGCUUCCCGGAAACGAAAGUCUUCCGGUUCCGGGGGAAGUAUGGUUGCAAAGCUGAAACUUAAAGGAAUUGACGGAAGGGCACCACCAGGAGUGGAGCCUGCGGCUUAAUUUGACUCAACACGGGGAAACUCACCCGGCCCGGACACCGUAAGGAUUGACAGAUUGAUAGCUUUUUCAUGAUUCGGUGGAUGGUGGUGCAUGGCCGUUCUUAGUUCGUGGAGCGAUUUGUCUGGUUUAUUCCGAUAGCGAGCGAGACUCUGGCCUACUAAAUAGUUGACGCAUUGCCACUGUGCGCACAACUUCUUAGAGGGAUUUUCGGUGUUUUCAACCGCACGAAAUUGAGCAAUAACAGGUCUGUGAUGCCCUUAGAUGUCCGGGGCUGCACGCGCGCUACACUGGCAAACGCAACGUGCCUGUCCUGCCCCGAAAGGAGCGGGUAAACCCCUGAAAUUUUGCCGUGAUUGGGAUCGGACAUUGCAACUAUUGUCCGUGAACGAGGAAUUCCUUGUAGGGGCGAGUCAUCAACUCGUCCCGAAUACGUCCCUGCCCUUUGUA